UCCUAUCACUUGAAGAAGUUUGGCAUCAUAGUAUUCAAUCGGAAGCUUAGAGAAUCUUACCCGCACUGCCACUUCUUCAAUGGCCUCAUUAGUCGAGUGAAGAUCUGGAGACCAUUCCCUAAGUGUAAGGUAAUGAUCAUAGAUAAGCCAAGGCACUUUUUCAAUGGUCCUCCCUGUUUGAGAAAGAAAUCAUUCCCCAGAUCUAUCAUACGGAAAACCCUAUUAC
rnacentral:lncRNA from 1 species